CCGCCUCCAAUUAUGGCUCCAACUUGUUUUUCAUUGGAACUUAAGAAAAAAACCUUCAAGAAACUAGCCUGUUUAUGAAGACAGCAGAGGACGGAGCUGGCCACCUGGCUGGUAUCUGCCUCUGCUGAGCCUCUGUGUCCCCUGCCUGGCCGCUGCCCUUCCACAAGUAUCUGGUGUGACUGGCCUUGAGUGACAUUCCUCAUUAUAUACUGUGUAUUACUAGAACUGCCGUCUGGCAGGCCAGGAUGCGGGGUGCAAAAGAAGAGGGUUACAGUGGAUCCGGGUGCAGCAAGGACAAUUGUUUCUACUCUGGGGCAUUUCUGAAGCACUAUGACAGCUGUUGUGGAGCCCGGUCCAUCCUGAGCACUCCAGCGUUCCAUUUCAAGGAUCUCUUCCUGGCUCCCCUCCCACCAUCAUUCCUUUGAGAGAAUGUGGCCCCGAGAUCAAGGCAGGGAGAGCUGCCAGCUACUGCCACCUGACACAAAGCCUCAUCACCCUUGUGUAUUUCUCUCCCCUCUCCAUUCUCGCCAUGGAGUCACAAUGUGGGUCAUUCUUUCCUUUCACCAAAGGAUGAGCAGGGGAAGAGAGGGCUGGAAAAAGAGACCUCUCCCUUUGCUGACUGAUUAGGAAGAAGUGUGGGGUCCAAGUGGGCCCACCCCUUGCCUAAUUUUUGCCCAAUUUUUUGGCCCCUGGAGUCCCUGGUAGACUUCUUAUCUUCUUGCGCACAAGGUUACUGUGUGUCUAAUUGCUCAGCUCCAGUUAGAGUGGCGGAGGGAAAUUGGCGUUAAUGAAUGAAUGAAUGAAUCGAUGGAUGGUUUACUGACAGCUUGGAGAAUCAACUAGGGUUUGAGCAAGAACCAGAAAGAGAAGGCCAACAUCUUUUAGCUUACCAAAUACUUUCAUGCCCCUUGGGAAGAAGAAAAAUGGACAUGGGAGAGGCAGAGCAUGGAAGAGUUUAAAUUGAGCAUAAAGGACGUAAAACUAGAUAAGUAAGAUCAGAAGAUAAAAGAUGAGUAAUCAUC